GACGAACGCUGGCGGCGUGCUUAACACAUGCAAGUCGAACGGAAAGGCCCUGCUUGCAGGGUACUCGAGUGGCGAACGGGUGAGUAACACGCGGGUGAUCUGCCCUGCACUUCGGGAUAAGCCUGGGAAACUGGGUCUAAUACCGGAUAGGAGCCAUUUUUAGUGUGAUGGUUGGAAAGUUUUGUCGGUGUAGGAUGAGCUCGCGGCCUAUCGGCUUGUUGGUGGGGUAAUGGCCUACCAAGGCGGCGACGGGUAGCCGGCCUGAGAGGGUGGACGGCCACAUUGGGACUGAGAUACGGCCCAGACUCCUACGGGAGGCAGCAGUGGGGAAGAUUGCACAAUGGGCGCAAGCCUGAUGCAGCGACGCCGCGUGGGGGAUGACGGCCUUCGGGUUGAAAACUCCUUUCGCUAGGGACGAAGCUUUUUGUGACGGUACCUAGAUAAGAAGCACCGGCUAACUACGUG
rnacentral:rRNA from 1 species